rnacentral:sRNA from 1 species
UACAGAGUAGCGAAGUAUUGAGCACUUCAUCUUUUUCUGCAUUUAAUCAACCGACUGCUUGCUAUUGACGUUUGGGGCGUACUGCGGAUAUUACCACCCCCCUCAGUCUAAUCGUCUACCAUGUGUUUGUUUACCCGAGCGCGUGUGGCUGUAAGUGACUGCCUACCUUUGGGUCUGUCGUUCUUUGUGAUACGUUUCUACAAACACACGAAUCUGUAUGAAUGUAAGAAGAAUCAUUUAUUUUGUUUGCGUGUAGUGAGGGCUAUUGGAGCUUUCGGUUGAUUGUUGAAAAAAACCAUUAAUUUAUUUGGCCUCACUACACUAUGCUUGUGUCCGUUGGAGAGCUGGCUUUUUGAAAGAAUUAAAAAAAAUAAUAAAAGUUUAAAUGAAUGGUUUUUGCUUUUGGUUUCUGUUUAGGAUAGGUAUGUAUGUAGGUAUUUACUACGCGCGUGUUUGGCUGAUUUGAGGGCUUUAAUUUGCGUUUGUUUUCUUUGCUAUUUUUAUAAGUACUAGUUUGAGUGUGGUGGUGAUGUGUUUGUGUGUACGUUGUUGGGUAAUCCCAUAGUACUUUUAAUUUUACAUGGUCGGCUGGGUAAACUCUCUCUUUUAUUUUGGCUAUUAUUGAGGGUGAAUACAUAACUUUGCCAUGGAACGUGUCGCAUCAUAUUCACCACAUUUCACCACCUCACCUUGC